rnacentral:rRNA from 1 species
UGGCGGCAGGCCUAACACAUGCAAGUCGAGCGGCAGCGCGGGGGCAACCCUGGCGGCGAGCGGCGGACGGGUGAGGAACACAUCGGAAUCUACCUUGUCGUGGGGGAUAACGUAGGGAAACUUACGCUAAUACCGCAUACGACCUACGGGUGAAAGCGGCGGACCGCAAGGCGUCGCGCGAUUGGAUGAGCCGAUGUCCGAUUAGCUAGUUGGCGGGGUAAAGGCCCACCAAGGCGACGAUCGGUAGCUGGUCUGAGAGGACGACCAGUCACACUGGAACUGAGACACGGUCCAGACUCCUACGGGAGGCAGCAGUGGGGAAUAUUGGACAAUGGGCGCAAGCCUGAUCCAGCCAUGCCGCGUGGGUGAAGAAGGCCUUCGGGUUGUAAAGCCC